rnacentral:rRNA from 1 species
UUCGCCCUUAGAGUUUGAUCCUGGCUCAGGAUGAACGCUGGCGGCGUGCUUAACACAUGCAAGUCGAACGGGAAACCUUUUAUUGAAGCUUCGGCAGAUUUAGAUUGUUUCUAGUGGCGGACGGGUGAGUAACGCGUGGGUAACCUGCCUUAUACAGGGGGAUAACAGUCAGAAAUGACUGCUAAUACCGCAUAAGCGCACAGAGCUGCAUGGCUCGGUGUGAAAAACUCCGGUGGUAUAAGAUGGACCCGCGUUGGAUUAGCUAGUUGGUGAGGUAAUGGCCCACCAAGGCGACGAUCGGUAGCCGGACUGAGAGGUUGAACGGCCACAUUGGGACUGAGACACGGCCCAGACUCCUACGGGAGGCAGCAGUGGGGAAUAUUGCACAAUGGGGGAAACCCUGAUGCAGCGACGCCGCGUGGAGGAAGAAGGUCUUCGGAUUGUAAACUCCUGUUGUUGAGGAAGAUAAUGACGGUACUCAACAAGGAAGUGACGGCUAACUACGUGCCAGCAGCCGCGGUAAAACGUAGGUCACAAGCGUUGUCCGGAAUUACUGGGUGUAAAGGGAGCGCAGGCGGGAAGACAAGUUGGAAGUGAAAUCUAUGGGCUCAACCCAUAAACUGCUUUCAAAACUGUUUUUCUUGAGUAGUGCAGAGGUAGGCGGAAUUCCCGGUGUAGCGGUGGAAUGCGUAGAUAUCGGGAGGAACACCAGUGGCGAAGGCGGCCUACUGGGCACCAACUGACGCUGAGGCUCGAAAGUGUGGGUAGCAAACAGGAUUAGAUACCCUGGUAGUCCACACCGUAAACGAUGAUUACUAGGUGUUGGAGGAUUGACCCCUUCAGUGCCGCAGUUAACACAAUAAGUAAUCCACCUGGGGAGUACGACCGCAAGGUUGAAACUCAAAGGAAUUGACGGGGGCCCGCACAAGCAGUGGAGUAUGUGGUUUAAUUCGACGCAACGCGAAGAACCUUACCAAGUCUUGACAUCCCUUGACGAACAUAGAAAUAUGUUUUCUCUUCGGAGCAAGGAGACAGGUGGUGCAUGGUUGUCGUCAGCUCGUGUCGUGAGAUGUUGGGUUAAGUCCCGCAACGAGCGCAACCCUUACUGUCAGUUACUACGCAAGAGGACUCUGGCAGGACUGCCGUUGACAAAACGGAGGAAGGUGGGGAUGACGUCAAAUCAUCAUGCCCUUUAUGACUUGGGCUACACACGUACUACAAUGGCGUUAAACAAAGAGAAGCAAGACCGCGAGGUGGAGCAAAACUCAGAAACAACGUCCCAGUUCGGACUGCAGGCUGCAACUCGCCUGCACGAAGUCGGAAUUGCUAGUAAUCGUGGAUCAGCAUGCCACGGUGAAUACGUUCCCGGGCCUUGUACACACCGCCCGUCA